GAUUAACGCUGGCGGCGUGCAUAACACAUGCAAGUCGAACGAUGAAACUUAAAUGAUUUCUUCGGAAUGAACUUAAGUGGAUUAGUGGCGGACGGGUGAGUAACGCGCGAGUAACCUGCCUUACACAAGGGGAUAGCCGUUGGAAACGACGAAUAAUACCCUAUGAAACUAUCACUUCGCAUGAAGCGAUAGUCAAAGUGUUAGCGGUGUAAGAUGGACUUGCGUCUGAUUAGCUAGUUGGUGAGAAAAAAGCCCACCAAGGCAACGAUCAGUAGCCGGCUUGAGAGAGUGUACGGCCACAUUGGGACUGAGACACGGCCCAGACUCCUACGGGGGGCAGCAGUGGGGAAUUGUGCACAAUGGGGGAAACCCUGAUGCCGCGACGCCGCGUGAUUUAGAAGGCCUUGGGGUUGUAAAAAUCUUUUGUAUAGGAAGAAAAUGACAGAACUAUACAAAUAGGGUCCGGCUAAUUACGG
rnacentral:rRNA from 1 species